AGUCUUGUAGUCAAAAAAUGAUACCAAAUUGCAAGUUUGGUGGUGGGGUAUUCCUAAGGCUU
rnacentral:tRNA from 1 species